GUGGGGAAUAUUGGACAAUGGGCGAAAGCCUGAUCCAGCCAUGCCGCGUGUGUGAAGAAGGUCUUCGGAUUGUAAAGCACUUUAAGUUGGGAGGAAGGGCAGUAAGUUAAUACCUUGCUGUUUUGACGUUACCGACAGAAUAAGCACCGGCUAACUUCGUGCCAGCAGCCGCGGUAAUACGAAGGGUGCAAGCGUUAAUCGGAAUUACUGGGCGUAAAGCGCGCGUAGGUGGUUGUGUAAGUUGGAGGUGCAAUCCCCGGGCUCAACCUCGGAACUGCCUCCAAAACUGCAUGACUAGAGUACGGUAGAGGGUAGUGGAAUUUCCUGUGUAGCGGUGAAAUGCGUAGAUAUAGGAAGGAACACCAGUGGCGAAGGCGACUACCUGGACUGAUACUGACACUGAGGUGCGAAAGCGUGGGGAGCAAACAGGAUUAGAAACCCGAGUAGUCC
rnacentral:rRNA from 1 species